rnacentral:rRNA from 1 species
CAGCAGCCGCGGUAAUACGAAGGGUGCAAGCGUUAAUCGGAAUUACUGGGCGUAAAGCGUGCGUAGGCGGUUUGUUAAGUCUGCUGUGAAAUCCCCGGGCUCAACCUGGGAAUGGCAGUGGAUACUGGCAAGCUAGAGUGUGUCAGAGGAUGGUGGAAUUCCCGGUGUAGCGGUGAAAUGCGUAGAGAUCGGGAGGAACAUCAGUGGCGAAGGCGGCCAUCUGGGACAACACUGACGCUCAUGCACGAAAGCGUGGGGAGCAAACAGGAUUAGAUACCCCCGUAGUCCCUGUCUCUUAUAC